AGACCAUGAUGUGGGCAACGUCGAAGUAAGUCCUGAUGUCUAUCCUAAGCUUCAUAUAAUAUCUCACUAGCAAACUAUAUGAACAAAGUGAUAUCAUUCCUUAUUUU
rnacentral:snoRNA from 1 species